UGAGGAAUAUUGGUCAAUGGGCGAGAGCCUGAACCAGCCAAGUAGCGUGCAGGAUGACGGCCCUAUGGGUUGUAAACUGCUUUUAUGCGGGGAUAAAUUGACUCACGUGUGGGUUAUUGCAGGUACCGCAUGAAUAAGGACCGGCUAAUUCCGUGCCAGCAGCCGCGGUAAUACGGAAGGUUCGGGCGUUAUCCGGAUUUAUUGGGUUUAAAGGGAGCGUAGGCCGUUGUUUAAGCGUGUUGUGAAAUGUCCCGGCUCAACCGUGGCACUGCAGCGCGAACUGGACGACUUGAGUGCGCGGAACGUAUGCGGAAUUUGUGGUGUAGCGGUGAAAUGCUUAGAUAUCACGAAGAACUCCGAUUGCGAAGGCAGCAUACGGCAGCGCUACUGACGCUGAAGCUCGAAAGCGCGGGUAUCGAACA
rnacentral:rRNA from 1 species